CAGCCGCCACGGUAAUACGAAGGGUGCAAGCGUUACUCGGAAAUACUGGGCGUAAAGCGUGCGUAGGUGGUGGUUUAAGUCCGUUGUGAAAGCCCUGGGCUCAACCUGGGAAUUGCAGUGGAUACUGGGUCACUAGAGUGUGGUAGAGGAUAGUGGAAUUUCCGGUGUAGCAGUGAAAUGCGUAGAGAUCGGAAGGAACAUCUGUGGCGAAGGCGACUAUCUGGGCCAACACUGACACUGAGGCACGAAAGCGUGGGGAGCAAACAGGAUUAGAGACCCCCGUAGUCCCUGUCUCUUAUAC
rnacentral:rRNA from 1 species